GGAUGAUGACGACGAUUCUGAUGUUGAUCUUUUUGGAGAGGAGACAGAGGAGGAAAAGAAGGCUGCAGAAGAACGUGCAGCAGUUGUCAAAGCCUCUGACAAAAAUAAAUAUCCGGAAAGUCUUCAAUUUUGUUGGAUGUGAAUCCAUGGGAUGAAGAGACAGAUGUGGCAAAGCUUGAGGAAACCGUGAGGAAUGUCCAGAUGGAAGGCCUCUCAUGGGGAAUGUUUGGAUAUGGUAUCAAGAAGUUGCAAAAUGAUCUAUCAUUUUAUUUUCUCUCGUUGCGGAACACACUUUCAUACAAGGUGAUUUUGAAGUUAUCUAGGUAAUGCAAUUGGAGUGGCAUGCUAACUUGAAUGAAUGUAAAUGUGUUACUGGCAGCUUAAUGUGAAUGUGAAAAAUACUUUCGGCAA